UACGGAGGAUCCGAGCGUUAUCCGGAUUUAUUGGGUUUAAAGGGUGCGUAGGCGGGCUGUUAAGUCAGCGGUCAAAUGUCGGGGCUCAACCCCGGCCUGCCGUUGAAACUGGCGGCCUCGAGUGGGCGAGAAGUAUGCGGAAUGCGCGGUGUAGCGGUGAAAUGCAUAGAUAUCGCGCAGAACUCCGAUUGCGAAGGCAGCAUACCGGCGCUCAACUGACGCUCAUGCACGAAAGUGUGGGUAUCGAACAGG
rnacentral:rRNA from 1 species